rnacentral:rRNA from 1 species
CCUACGGGUGGCAGCAGUGGGGAAUAUUGCACAAUGGGGGAAACCCUGAUGCAGCGACGCCGCGUGAGUGAAGAAGUAGUUCGGUAUGUAAAGCUCUAUCAGCAGGGAAGAAAAUGACGGUACCUGAUUAAGAAGCCCUGGCUAACUACGUGCCAGCAGCCGCGGUAAUACGUAGGGGGCAAGCGUUAUCCGGAUUUACGGGGUGGAAAGGGAGAGUAGACGGCAGCACAAGUCUGGAGUGAAAGUCCGGGGAUUAACCCCGGAACUGCUUUGUAAACUGUGCAGCUGGAGUGCAGGAGAGGUAAGUGGAAUUCCUAGUGUAGCGGUGAAAUGCGUAGAUAUUAGGAGGAACACCAGUGACGAAGGCGGCUAACUGGCCUGUAACUGACGUUGAGGCUCGAAAGCGUGGGGAGCAAACAGGAUUAGAUACCCGAGUAGUC